ACGAGCACUGUCCUACUCUCGGAACAAUUUCCAGUUUGCUGCACUCUGAUAUAUCUAGAUUUCGAAGAAAGGAAAAUCCUUCCAAAUCUGGAAUGGAACUUAAAUUAGGACAAUCACUUAACUUCAAUUCUUCAAGAGUAGUGGAGGUCCACAACCCAUCUCCAAUCUUGCUUAGUUUUCGACACGAGGAAAUGUGAAAUUUUUGAAGAGAUGAACAUGUUCCUCUUAUUGGAACAAUUUCCAGUUUGCUGCACUCUGAUAUAUAUAGAUUUCGAAGAAAGGAAAAUACUCCCAAAUCUGGAAUGGAACUUAAAUUAGGACAAUCACUUAACUUCAAUUCUUCAAGAUAAGUGGAGGUCGACAACCAGUCUCCUAUCUUGCUUAAGUUUUGACACGAGGAAAUGUGAAGCUUUUGAAGAGAUAAACAUCUUCCCCUUCCUGGAACAAUUUCCAGUUUGCUGCACUCUGAUAUAUCUAGAUUUCGAAGAAAGGAAAAUCCUUCCAAAUCUGGAAUGGAACUUAAAUUAGCACAGCCACAUAGCUUUAAUUCUAUAGGACAACUGGAGGUCAACAACCCGUCUCCUAUCUUGCUUAAGUUUUGACACGAGGAAAUGUGAAGCUUUUCAAGAGAUGAACAUCUUCCCCUUAUUGGAACAAUUUCCAGUUUGCUGCACUUUGAUAUAUCUAGAUUUCGAAGAAAGGAAAAUCCUUCCAAAUCUGGAAUGGAACUUAAAUUAGCACAGCCACGUAGCUUUAAUUCUUUAAGACAACUGGAGGUCGACAACCCGUCUCCUAUCUUGCUUAAGUUUUGACACGAGGAAAUGUGAAGCUUUUCAAGAGAUGAACAUCUUCCUCUAAUUGGAACAAUUUCCAGUUUGCUGCACUCUGAAAUAUCUAGAUUUCGAAGAAAGGAAAAUCCUUCCAAAUCUGGAAUGGAACUUAAAUUAGGACAAUCACUUAACUUCAAUUCUUCAAGAUUAGUGGAGGUCGACAACCCGUCUCCUAUCUUGCUUAAGUUUUGACACGAGGAAAUGUGAAGCUUUUCAAGAGAUGAACAUCUUCCUCUAAUUGGAACAAUUUCCAGUUUGCUGCACUCUGAAAUAUCUAGAUUUCGAAGAAAGGAAAAUCCUUCCAAAUCUGGAAUGGAACUUAAAUUAGGACAAUCACUUAACUUCAAUUCUUCAAGAUUAGUGGAGGUCGACAACCCAUCUCCAAUCUUGCUUAGUUUUCGACACGAGGAAAUGUGAAGCUUUUGAAGAGAUGAACAUCUUCCUCUUAUUGGAACAAUUUCCAGUUUGCUGCACUCUGAUAUAUCUAGAUUUCGAAGAAAGGAAAAUCCUUCCAAAUCUGGAAUGGAGCUUAAAUUAGCACAGCCACUUAGCUUUAAUUCUUUAAGACAAGUGGAGGUAGACAACCCGCCUCCUAUCUCGCUUAAAUCCUUACACUCUGAAAUGCAAAAUUCUUCAAGAGAUGAACAUAUUCCUGCUAUUGGAACAAUUCCCAAGCGUCCGCAAUCGGAAACAUAGACACUUCGAAGAGCGGAAAACCCAUUCAAAUUUGGAAUUGAGAACAAAUCUCCACACUUUACUAUAGUUAGCUCCUCAAGUACCGUGGAAGUAGCUAGUCCAUCCCCUAUACGGCUUAAUUUUGAACAAUCCUCAACCCAGAGCUUUUUAAGAGAUAAACAUCCUCCCGUCAGGGGAACACUUUCUAAUAAGGGGCAAUCAGAAACAAGCAACUCUUCUAAGCAAGGGAACAUGGUUGCUGCUGUCAUUGCUGUCCAUUCUUCCAAAUUUUUCAUUUGCCGUAGGAUGAAUGUUUUUAAUGCAGGAAACACCUCAAUCUCACAUUGACUACUUCCAUCGCAAUAAAACUCAUUACCGAUGCGUUUCACCUUCCCCAUAUUCCUCAGUGCAAGAAACUUGAGACUCUGCAGUUGGCCCAAUGGUGGAAGACUUUUACAAUUGAUGCAACUGUUUAAUUCCAACUCCAUCAAAUUGUCAAGAAGCAGUGAACCAAUAUUAGAACCAUGAACAGGUCUUGACAUCCAAGAUGGGAGCUUUUCCCCUCCAUAAUUCCAAACAAUUAAGCUUUGCAAACCUGAGUGGGGUUGGAGACCUUCCAGCACUUCCUCACAGGUGUCAUUGCUAAAUUCUGACCAUUCGAAUAUUACCUUGCACAAUUUUGUUUUAAGCCGUAGAUUUGCUUUGCGAGCCUCUUCCUUGUCCCUAACACUCUGCAGAUUGCAUAUCCUCAAUUCUCCACCAAGUUCGUUGAGGCAUUCUAGAGCAUCAAGAUGAAAUUCGAUAUCCCUAACAAAAAACAUUGGCAAUGUUUGGAGAGAAAUUAGGUGUCGAAGCUCAAUUGGUUGAGACCUUUGCUGGUCAUAAUGGAUGUGCUUCAAGCUUAUCAAAUUUCUCAAUCCAUCUGGAAAUGCGAUUUCCCUACAACCCAUGAACCUUAAUGUUUGUAACAUGUAAAGUUUGGUUAUGGAUCGAGGCAGCACUUUGAUAGAAGUCUUCGAGAUGUCCAUAUACCUCAAGUGCUUCAAGUCGCCGAGGGAAGCAGGCAACUCAAGAAUAUAAUCAGCACCGGAAAAUUUUAGGACUCGUAAGCUUGUGAAGGUUCUUGACAAUUUCUUGAACACAUCAAUCUCUGAGAACAAAGAGUGCAAUUUUGGAGCAACAGCUGUUAAAAUUAUUGGUAAGGAUUCCCCAUCAUAACCAAUACUGAGAUGCUGAAUAUGAGAAACUUCAUCUGUGCUGGAACUGGAAUUUUCUUGGAAAAUCAAAGUCUCAAACUUUGAGACAGACAAAGCCAGAUCAUGCACCAUGUCAUGCAUCUUGCAAGUCAAAAUAUUUCCGCACCUGUCCUUCCCCACAUCUUGGAAUAAGGAAUUUGAUAACAAUUCAUGGAAAUAUCUGUUACCAGUAUCCAUCAUUUCUUUAGAAGCGCCAAGAAAUCCUUCAGCCAUCCAGAGUUGGAUUAAUUGCUCCUUUCUAAAGCAAAAAUCUUUAGGAAACAUGGCGCAGUAUGCAAAACACUUCUUUAAACAUGGAGAAGACAAGUGAUCGAAACUUAACCUUAGCACACUAUUAACCGAAUCCCAUACAUCACUUUUUUGAAUUUUCAACCAUGCACCCCGACUCUUUUCAAUUUUGCGCAUUGUACCUCCAAUAACUUUUGCUGCUAAAGGCACACCGUGACAUUGUUUAGCAAUGUCCUCGCCAAUUAACACUAAGCUGGGAGAUAUUGGGGAGUCUCCACGUGCUUUUUCUUGAAUUAUGGACCAGCACUCCUCAUCUUUUAAUUUUCCAGGCUGAUGCCUUUGAUUAGGAAGUGUUUCCACUUUUAAUGCCACAUCUUCAAUGCGGGUUGUUACAAUAACUUUAUUCCCCCGAUUCUUAUUAACCCCUUCCAAACACCACAUUAGUUCAUCCCAUUGUUCAACAUUCCACACAUCAUCAAGUACAAGAAGAUAUUUGAUCUGUUCAUUUCCCCUUUUGGCCUGCUCAAUCUUCCCCUUCAGUUUCGCCGUUAAAGCAUUCAAGUUUUGAGGUAUCGAAGUCCCCUUAAAAUGCUCCAGCAUUUCUCUUAAAAUUCUUUUGACAUUGAAGUCAGCCGAAACACACACCCAAAAUCUUACAUCAAAACGCCUUUCCACAUCCACAUCAUUGUAGACUAGCCUUGCUAAAGUAGUUUUCCCGAUACCCCCAUUGCAACUAUAGGCACAACAGAGACAGUUCGAUCAUCUUGGGGACUGACUAACAUGUCAACAACUUUUGAGACAUCAUUUUUCCUUCCAACAAUGUUUGAGUCAUCCAGGAAGGAGACUGUCUCCACAUUUGAUGGAAUAAAAAUUCUUUGAUCUAUGGCUAAUUGUUGGAGACCGUAGUCUUUGGCUUUUUUGUUAAGGUGGUCCAAGGAAUUAAGGAUGUCCUUAACUCUAUUAGCCAUGUUGUGCCGAAAUAUGACAGUAGAUGGAAGGUCUCGUAGCUUUCUCCACAUCUGAACCCCAACCUCCACUUUCCUUCUGAGAAACUCAUAAGUAAUCUCAUCCAGGACCUCACCAGCCUCAUAAGCAACAUCUCUGAGCCCCUCCAACCAAAGCUUCACUGAAUUCAUUUGCUUUUGCUUUCCCUCUGCAUCUUGCAAGAAAGCUCCAACCAUUUCUAGUGAGUUUUCAAGCCUCUGAAUCUCAUCCUUGAAGCCCCAUCCAAGGCUUAUCAUCUCAACCGCAACUGACGCCGCUUUUGACACCGCUUCUCCCACAACAGCACUAACGAAAGCUUCAGCCAUCUUUGCUUCAAAAAUAAAAAGCUUGAAAUGUUAGGGAAAGCUCUUGACUCUAUAUGAAAGAAGCGAAGAACAUUUGUAAAAAGCAACAGAAAAUGGAAAUGGGUGGAAGAUCAUACCGAGUCAAGGAAACUAAAUGCAGGAGAGAUUUGAUGAUGAAUUGCUUUUGGUAAAUGCAAAUUGUAAAGUCAAUGAGCGUUAAACUACCACCUGCCUGCGCUGACGAGAAUUUCAAGAGACCAAUAAACUAAUAUUAAUAAGUAAUUUUGGAUGGGGUAAAUUACACUAAGGGUCAUUAUACUAUUAUUAAGUUUUCGUUUUAUGCAUUUAAUUUUAAAAAGUUAUAAAAAGACCAUUAGACUAUUUAAAAGUUUUUAUUUAAGUCAUCAAAUUAUGUUGUUUUUAUUAAAAGCUUAGCUAGCAAAUUUCCAAGUGGUGGUCAGAUGAUCGGCAUGAUAAAUCAAUACCUAUCGACAUGUAGAAGAAGAAAACUAUUUGGAUUUUAAUUUGCAGAUUUAUGACACUCAAAAUUAUUUCAAAAAAAUGAAUUAUAGAAAAGGAGAAUGAGAAUUAUUUUUUAUUGGUGUAGCCGGGGCGAACAGAGAACUCUACACAAUAGUAAUAUAACAACUUAAUGACUUAAAUAAUAUUUUAGUGAUCAUUUUGUAACUUUUUAAAAUUGAGUGACUAAAAUGUUAUUUACUAAUAAUUUAGUGAACUUUGUGUAGUUUACCCUAAAAUAGUAUACAAUUAAUUCUAAUAUUAUUUAAUAAAUUUUAUUAUAAUAAAAUAAUGAUAUAAAUGUUUGUAGUUAAAUUGUGCUACUAGUCUUUAUACUUUGUGAAAGUUGUGAAACUUAGUUCAUGUACUUUAAUUUAAUCAAUUUUAGUCUCUUUACUUUUCAAAUUGAUUGGUUUAGUUCCUAUGCUUUUUGCACAAAAAAUAGUAGUUAAAUUCGAUUGGUUAAAUUUAAUUACUAAUUUUAUACUAUGCAUACAGUCAUAAAUUUAGUUCGAUCUCUCCAUUUGAACCAUUUUAAGUCCUAAUACUUUUCAAAAUUUGAAAUUUCAAUACUAAUGAAAAUUACAAUUAUUAAUUUAUUAAUUAAAUUUUUAGUGAGUAAUAUCUAGAAAUAACGAACAACAUAACAUUACAUAUAUAGUAAUAAUUUUGACGAAUCAUAUUUUAAAAAUAGCAAAACUUAAUAUAUUUCAUAGUUAUCAUUUUGGUGAGCACUUAAAUUUUAAAAUUCAAAAAGUAUAUAGACUAAAAGCGGCGAAAUUAAAGUUUAUGGAUUAAAUUUAUAACUUUCAUAAAGUAUAGGGACUAAUAAUGGAAUUUAACUAGUAAUAAUAUAUAUAAAUCAUUUUCGUAUAAGAUUUCAGCUGAAGAAGAGAAGUAAUCUGGUUGUUGGCGUUUUUAAGAAAGCUGGUGUAUUUAAGAAGGUUUGGUGGAAUAGUACUGUUUAAGCCGGUGUAUUUAAGAAGGUUUGGUGGAAUAGUACUGUUUAAGCUGGUGUAUUUAAGAAUGUUAGGUGGAAUAGUACUGUUUUCUGAUGGAUUUGAUGGAUGAUAAUUAUGAAUCAUGUGUUAUUUCCACACGGUUUGUUGUUUUCAAGAGGGGGGUUAUCCGUUGGAAUACAGCUGGGACGCAGAAGUCUCUAAGGCCUACCCGUCGAUUCUUUUGCUGGAUCUUUGUUUUGGGCUGACCUUUUGUUUUGCUUUUGUUUUAUCUGCUUCGGUUUUGAUUUUGGACCAUUCUAUGUUUUGACGUUGGUUUGUUUAUUUUGGUUCUGUUGAGUUUUAUUUUGGGCCUGAUUUGAAUAAAAAUCCAGAGUUUUCUUUAAAAAAAAAUCAAUCCAAAUAAAUAAAUAUUAUACCAAUCGACAAAAAAAUAUUUGUCUUCCUCCCAUCCCCUCUUCUCUUUUCUCUUCUUUCUAUUUUCAAAAUCCUAAAUUUGAUUUGAAGAUUGAAUUUCUACUUUUUAUUUAUAAGAUUUUUAGUUGUCUUAGGCUCUACCUCCGCCUCUGCAUUGCUCUGCUAUAUUUUGAUUUGAGAUCCCGAUCGAAAAUCUUUUGUGAUCUUCAAAGAUGGGAGAAAGAAAAGUACUGAACAAAUGUUACCCGCCGGACUUCGAUCCGUCCAAGCUUCCGAGGGUCCGGCGACCGAAGAAUCAACAGAUGAAGGUUCGUAUGAUGCUUCCGCUGAACAUACGUUGUAAUACCUGCGGAAACUAUAUUUAUAAAGGCACCAAGUUCAAUUCACGCAGAGAAAUGUUAUCGGCGAGGUUUGUUUUGUGCUUUCUUUUUACACUUUAGCUUCGGUUUAUUUGUUUAGUAAUAUUAGGGUUUUUUUUUUCAUUCUAACUUUAAAUUUAAGAAAAAAAAUAGGUAGAAGCAGCAAUAAUUCGAAGUUAUUUUAUGCUCUUGUGAGGUUAUGUUUGGUUAUUAGAAUGUAAUAGUAAUUAAAAUCAUGUUAAUUGGUUGAAAGAUGAGCAAACAAUUAUAAUGCAAUACUAAUUGUAAACUCAUUGUUAUAUAUGAAAUUAAAAUCUUGCAUUUUAUUGUAAAAAGGAACUUUCACAUGCCUUGUACUAUACUCACACUUAGUCCAAAUAACGUGGUUAAAUGCUGUAGUUAGUACACAACUUUCAGGUUUUCACUUCUCUCUAAUUAAUGAUUGAGGUGCAUUUAGUUACUUUUCUCUUAUUUGCAGACAUAUUUGGGAAUCCAAAUAUUUAGGUUUUAUUUCAAAUGCACCAAGUGCUCUGCGGAGAUGACGAUAAAGACUGAUCCACAAAAUUCAGAUUAUGUUGUUGAAUCGGGUGCAACAAGAAAUUUUGAACCUUGGCGUGCUGAAGAUGCGGUGAGAGCUUUGUGUAUCAAGCUAAAUGUAGCUAUAGUUCUUUUAACAUUGCUGGAUAUGUAUAAUAAUAUUCUUUCAUCUUUCCUUUUGUUAGGAAGCGGAGAAAGAGAGAUGGAAAAGGGAAUCUGAAGAAAUGGGGGAUGCGAUGAAAUCUUUGGAGAACAGAACGUUGGAUUCAAAAAGAGAGAUGGAUAUCCUUGCUGCGCUUGAUGAAAUGAAGUCUAUGAAGGUAGCUAAACACUUAAACCAACUUUUGUUUAAUAUGCAGGAGAUAACUGCAACAUUACUGUUAUAAAAAGAAAAUAAAGCUUUAACCUUGUUUUUGAUUAUUGUGGAUGUCAAUGAACCAGGUUUUUGAGUCUUUUAUUUUUAGAAUCUGAAUCUAGGAAGAGCACAUGUUGAGUUUCGAUUGAUAUGACCAAAAUAAUGUCUGUUAACGGGUCUACUGUUAGACAUUUGUCUAUCAAGAUGGGAAUAGGUACAAUUUUCUUUUCUCUGAUGCUAAUGGUAGUCUAUCUUACUAUCUUAUAUUGCAGUCCAGACAUGCUACGGUGAGCGUAGAUUCAAUGCUGGAGGCCUUGCAACGCACUGCCGCAGAAAAGGUAAGAUACUUCUACUUAUUUCUUAAUAGCUUAAGCUGCUUCUUUGAAUAGAAAUCUCACGAUUGUGUUUCGUUUGUAUUCUAUUUGAAAAUUUCCAGUUUCUUCUAAAUCAAAGGUGCAUCUUUGGUUGCAAUUGCGAAUCCUGAAUGGAAUUUAUGGUUUCGCUGAGAACACUUUUAUGCUGCAUUUCUUUAAUUAUACAUAAUCCUAGGAAAUAGGGGAAAAAGUUGAAUUUGCUUUCUAUGGAUAAAUCUUUCCCCUGAAAUAUGCCAACUUAAUUUUAUCAUAUCAGGUAAUUUCUCUUAAAUCUGAACUCUGAUAUUAGAAUAUUUAUGAAUGCUUGCAUUAUUUACCUUAAUACUUGAUGUGAGAGGGAGAUGAGUACAAAUACAUACAAGUGUGGAUUGAAGUGAUAAGUAGUAAUCACGUCGCUUAGCAUGCUUAUAUUUCUUCUCUUUUGUGAUUCUGACUACAAAGUUAUAAUGGUAACAGGAAAAGAAAAUAGAAGAAGAAGAUGAAGCCCUCAUUAAAUCGAUUUUCCAGGUUAGAAUCGGUGUAUUGCUUUUAGUAUCACCAGUUGUGAUUGCUCCCUGUUCUAGGCGGGCAUGUUUCUAACAUUGGUGUCAUCUUUAAUGCAGAAGCCAAAGGAAUUUGUUCGAAGGAUUUCAGAUGAUGUUUGCAACGAUGAUGAGGAUCUGACCCGUUUAUUGAGUGGCAAUGGUGAAACCUCAAAUGAUGGCUUAAAGAUCUGACCCGUUUAUUGAUGGCUUAUGAAUUUUUUCCCGGGCCGGGCCUGGGCAAAAUUCUAGGCCCAUAUUUCGGGCCGGGCCCGGGCCCAGGCCUAGGACCCGGGCUGAAUUUUUUUCUGGACCCAGCCCGGCUCGGCCCAUGAACACCUCUAGUCCCGACAGAAUCAAUACGAAGUAACAAAAAAAAGUAGAUCAGAUUUUGCUUUUAUCUUCUUUUUCUUUCUUUUUUUCUCUUCGAGGCUAUGUAUAUAUACAUGUAAAGAUUUUUGUUUUUAUUUUCUCAUUAGUAUAUUCAUUAUUGUCAUUUUAUUGUCGCGUUCAUUCGUAUAUCAUCAUUUUGUACCGUCAUUCAUCAACAUAAUAUUUUAUAUCAUUAAUUUUUAUCCGAACAUAUAAAUAAAAUUUUCAAAAAUAGGCAAGGUUCUGUAUUUGAAAGAUUCAGUAAAAUCGCAUCUUAAUUUACGGGUUUCGAUUUUUCUCGUUGAAUUCAAAUAAUUAAAUAUCCUUUCAAAAAUUAAAAUAUGUAAGAAUCAAAGGCCAAAUUAUUCUCAAGGAUUUGAAAUGUCAUGUCUUAACUUACGGGACGUGUCGUUUUAUAGCCUCGAGAUAAGAAAGUCUUCAAUAUAUUUUCGAGUUAUUUAAGCAUUCCAAAAAAAAAUAUACAUUAAUGUAAAAAACGAUCGUAUUUUAAAUUCUUUCCGAAUUUUUAACUUUCUACAUAAAGACAUCAAAUAAUCAAUUGGGUACCAAUUUUGGGUGUUACGAGGGUGUUAAUCAUUCCAUUGCGUAACCCACUACUGAACCUAUUUUUUGGAUUUCGUAGACCAAAAAAUCGUCGUUUUAGUAAUUUUAAAUUUUUAUUCAAAUGAUUGAAUUACGAGGUGACCCGAUCAUAAAAAUUAUAAAAAAUAAUUUUAUUUUAUAUAAAAUUAGUAAAUAAUUAUUAUUUGAUAUAAUAUAACCUAAACAUUAUUAUUAAUAAAAAUAAAUUAUAAAAUAAUUAAAAACUCUUAAAUAAAAAACAAAUAUAUAAAUCUUAAAAUAAUGUUCUGACUUAAAGAAGAAAAUAUAGCUUUGUAAUCAUAGUUGUCCUAUGGACACUUAGAAUCUAAUGGCAUGACACGUGUAAAGCCAAUUUGCUGUUUGCCAUUUGGUAUCAUGGUUUUCAAAAUUGAAUUAAUAGAAUCGAUUGCCUUGAUUUAACAUAUAUAAAAAAUAUGAUUUUGAAAAGAUUUUUUAAUUGUAAAGGAAAAGAAUCAUAAAAAUAUUCUAAGAUUUUUUUUCAAAAUUGAUUUUUUAAUUUAUAAAAAAAUUAAUCUAAAUAUAGAAAGCUUGUAAAGGAAAAGAAUCACAAACGAAUUUCAAAAGUCAAAAUUUUAAAAGGUUUGAAUAUCUUUAAAUAAUUAAAAAUCAUAAUUUAAAAUAUUAUGAAACAAAUUAAAAAAAUAUUUAAAAUAUUAUAAAACUAAUAAUAAAAGUGAAAGGUCAUAUCUUUAAAAUAUUUAAAUGAUUUAUAUUAUUAAAAAUAUAUUUAAUAUUUAAAAAAUAAUAUUUAAAAUUUUAAAAAAGUGCUUUAUUUUUAUAAUUAGUUAUUUAAUUUUUAUUAAUUAUAAAGUCAGCUUUUGCUUUUAAAUUUACUUAUAAAGACGGUAUUAUAUACCAAAUUUUGGGAUCAACGAAAACAAAAUCAAUUGAGAUAGACAUCUUAGAAAAAUAAAAUAAUAAAUAAUAUAAAUUUAAAGAAAUAGAAAAUUUUAGAGUUCAAAAACUAUAAAAAAAUAAUUUUAUUUGAUAUAAAAUUAGUAAAUAAUUAUUAUUUGAUAUAAUAUAACCUAAACAUUAUUAUUAAUAAUAAAUAAAUUAUAAAAAAAUUAAAAACUCGUAAAUAAAAAAACAAAUAUAUAAAUCAUGGUUUGCAAUCAUUAUUAUUAAUGUUCUGACUUAAAUAAAAAAAUAUAGCUUUGCAAUCAUGGUUGUCUUAUGAACACUUAAAAUCUUAAUGACAUGAUACGUGUAAAGUCAAUUUAUUGUUUGCCAUUUGGUAUAAUGAUUUUUAAAAUUGAAUUAAUAGAAUCGAUUGCUUGAUUUAACAUAUAUAAAAAUAUGAUUUUGAAAAGAUUUUUUAAUUGUCAAGGAAAAGAAUCAUAAAAAUAUUCAAAGAUUUUUUUCAAAAAUGAGUUUUUAAUUUAUAAAAAAAAUUAAUCUAAAUAUAGAAAGCUUGUAAAGGAAAAGAAUCAUAAUAUAAAAUAUUAUGAAACAAAUUAAAAAUAUUAAAAAUAUUAUAAAACUAAUAAUAAAAUAUUUAGAUGUUUUAUAUUAUUAAAAAAAUAUUUAAUAUUUAAAAAAUAAUAUUUAAAAUUGAAAAAAUAAUUUCAAAAAUAUAUAUUUAAAAUUUUAAAAAAUAUAUAUUAUAAAAAAUUUCAAAUAUACAUUUUAAAUUUUUUAAAAUUAAUAAUAAAAAAUAAAAUAAAAAAAUAAUAAUAAAGACAAAACUUAAAAAAAGUAUUAAAAAAAAGGACAAAACUUUAAAAAAAAAAGUAAAAGGGUGUCAGGCGAAUCUGGUGGCGCCAAAUGAAAGGGCUCCACCAGAAAAUAGAAAUUUUAAUUUAAAGUCCUCCAUAUUUUUAGAAAUUGCAGUAUCUUCUUAGUAUUUAUACAAGUGGCGCCAUUCUACAUGGCUCCAUCAAAAAAUUAAUUUUUUUCUUGGUUGCUGACGUGGCAUAUUGGCGGAGCCAAAUUGACUCCACCAACUUUUACGAUAGAUUUUAGGUCAUUUUUGUGUUUAACUAAAAAAAUGGAUUAUUUUGAUAAUUAAUUAAAUUUUUUAGGCUAUUUUUAUAAAAAAAGCCCAAACACUCCUAUACUCAUGUUCAGUUUUAGUUUCAAAAAGGAAUAGGCUUGUUCGAGAAUAUACCAUUGGGUAGUCAGUUUGACCUACGUCAAUGCGAAGUUCCACAUGAUAUCAAUUUAUGUUUGCAGAAGUGGGACUUGCUGUAUUUUUCCCUUUUUUUCACCUCAAUUGUUGAAAAUAGAAUCGCCAUUAUUGAAUCCCUUAACUCAAGCUUUGGUGUGCAUGGUGUGCAGAGGAGAAAGGUGUCAGAAGAACCCUACAGAUGCUUUGACAAAAGCUAGUUUGCCGGAUGAUUCUAGCAGUAAAGGUAUUUGCAGUAUUCAUCACCAAUUCAUUUUUUUCAUAUAUAAAAAAGAACGGUUCAACUAGUCUGCAUUAAUUCUCAAUCUAUUUGGUACAAAACCAUUAUCUGGAACUAUUCAAAUAUCAUUGCAAUUUAUUAAAACAACACAUUACUAAAAUACUUGAGCACCAAGGCUUCACUGUCUCAUCAGUGCUUUCUGUCAAUCUUGCUAUCCUCCUAACGCUUGUUAUCACACCAUCUCUGUUGUUGACUGUAAGUUAAUUACUGAUUUUCAAUCCAAAUAUUUGCAAAAUUUAUCAUAGUAAUAAGUACCCUGAAAAGAUUCAAAGAUCCUUGAAAUAAAAUUUUGGAAAUGAUUGACUGACUAAUGCUUAGAACUUUUUUGAAUUAGUAUAUAUUGAUUUUGUAUUACGAAUAUGAUAAUGAAUGUAUUUGUUCGUUAACAGAAGGUCCAAGUGGUUCAAGGAGUCGUCCAUUCAAGUUACCGGUGAUAAUCUCGAUUGUGAAGAAGAAACCAGAGAAGAAAGAAGAAAAGUUACUAAUGAUACAGAGUAUUGGUCUCCUAUCCUUGUGCCAACUGCCAAGUACCAAUACUCUUUAUAUUUUUUUACCAUGUACCAAACACGCAAGAAUAUUGUCUAAAAUAAAGUAUCACUAUUCAUCAUCACUUUCAUUGUAGUUUUGGCGCCGUGAUAAUCUCGUUGUGAUGAAGAAGAAACCAGAGAAGAAAGAAGAAAAAGUUGAUGAUGAUACAAGCACUGGUCUCCUAUCUUUGUGCCAAAACUACGAUGAAAGUGAUAAUAAGUAGUGGUACUUUAUUCUGGUGAAUAUCCUUGUAUUGUCUUGUUUUAAUGUUUGUAUAGAUUGUUAAAUUGAUGUUUUUUUUAGUUAAAUUUAACCAUUAAUCUUAAAAAAAAAAGUUGAAUCAUCACUUUUAUUAGAAAUGCCAACUAAAAUACUAUUUUUUGAUGAUGUUGACGCGAUAAUUAAUGUGAUAGUUAAUGUAUAUUUCAUAUUGAUACGGUACUAUUUAUUAUAUAUAUACUAUAUUGACAAAUAAUUUACAAAUAAUAAAAAAUCAAGAUUAUAAAAAUUAUGAAGAGCAUAAAAAAAAAAAAGAGCUUGAAGUAAGUGUAGAUUGUCAUGCAAAUUGUUAUGUUUAAAAAUCGUAAUGUUUUAGUCAAUAUUUCUGUUAUAAACAAUAAGUCUGACUUUUUUUUUGAAAAAUUGGUGGUGAAAUGUACCUCUUUCUAAAAUGUUGAGGGCUAAAUUUAGCUAAAAGUAAGUCAUAUUGAUUAAAAAUGUAAAUAUUAAGUGCUAAAUUUAUCAUUAAGCAAAAAUAAAAGGUCAAUUUAUGUAUUAGUUGUUUGCUUACUUUUCAAAUAUUGAAAUUUCAAUCCUAAUUUAAAUAGUAACAAUUAAAUUUACUUGGUUGAGUUUUAUCAUUAAACUUGCAUUACGCGUAAAGUAGUAAAUUUAAUUCAUAUUUUUCAUUUGUAUUUUUAAUUUUUUUACUUUUCAAUUUUUCGAAAAUUUAAUCUUGGUGUAAACAAGAUCUAUUAAAUUUAUUAAUUAUUAUUUUUGAGUAAUAAAUGAAAAUAAUAAGUUGACAUAUCAUUUCAUGUGUAAUAAUACGGAAAUUUUAUAACUCAAAAGAUAUAGCAAUUAAAAUGGACCCAACUAAAGUAUAAAAAUAAAAAUCUAUAAUUUACGGAUAAUAUAAUGACUAAUAGCACAAUUUAAACCAAAUAAAAACAAGUUAAAUACAUCAUGACGAUGUAUCACUGGAUAAGACUCAUAAAAGUUACUGCAUACGACCACAGAGAAUCUUUAAUUCAUUACUGGUCACUGUUCAAACAUUUCUCCGGCAUUUUCGAGAAAGAAUUCAGUCUUAAAAAUGCUAAAGAAGUUCGGAAAUUUCCUACGACUGCGGAGCCUUAUUCAGCGGCAACUCACUCAGCAAGUUACAGCUUCAGUCCUAUACUUCUAACUAAAUAACUUUCCCUCUAAAUCUUUUCCCCUUCAAAGCUUAGAUCCAAGCUGAUGAACACAAUUCAGUUUACUUACAGUUUUGCACUAAAAAAAGUAGUUCCUGACUUAACAAAUAAAAUGCUCUCCAAUUUCUACAAUUAACCUACACUAGUCGUUCACUAUAUAUGCAUAGAAGGGGCGUUCAAGUACAAUCAAUGACAUUCACAAAUCCCACUAAAAACAUCUUACUGUCAUCAAAUUCCUUGAAGAUCAAAUCUUCUAUUUAAGAGAACUUUGAUUCUCGCAUGUAAAGUCUGCACUGAAGUAUCACCGUUGAAGCUGACAAUUAUAAUCGGCACUAACAAGUUUAAAUACAGGGCAGCCAACUUUUUUUUUCUGAUGAUUUUGGAUUAUGACAUGGAAGCUCAAAUCUUCAACUUAGCUAGAUACACAGAUGCGAGCUCCUUUUCCUGCUAAAAUCCAAACACAGUAUUUAUGAUAAACGAAGUUACUAUUUUUAAUUCCAAGGCAAUCCAAUUGGUGAACUCAAUAAGUUUUAGCUCCUAGAAAUUCUACGAGGGAAAAGUACCUUUGUGAAUAGCUUUUCCAAUCAAAUCUGGUGCUGGUCCUCUCCGAUCAUGGCUAAGGCCUUCUAGCUUACUACCCCUUCAGAUAAAGCAAAAUCAUAUAUCUUUACAUGAAGAAAAAAAAUUUACCCUUGGAUUUGAAUUUUAGUUGUUUUAUCACUGACCUAUGUGAAGCAGGUCCAGAUAAAGGCAUAGGUUAAGAAAGAGAAUGGUGGUAAAGUGGCAAGAUGCUGCAAUGAACAACCAUACAAUAUGUUGUCAAGGACAGGUGAUUUGGUAGCCAAGGUUAGUUCCAUAAAGGGUGGCAAUUGUAAGUGCUUCCGUCAGGAGCAAAACAAGAAUGGCUUUCAGGAACAGAACUAAAUUCUGGUCGGAUAUCACAAGAAACCUUACUCACAAUCCUUGAUGCUUCAGACAAGUAGGGAAAACACUUGGGUGAUGUUGCAUGACUGAAGACAACAAGGCAAAAGAAGUGGUCAAAAUGCAUAAACAAUGAUAAUUACCUAGUGAGUUGAUAUAUAAAAAUUUUUCGUAAGCAGUCUUCCUGUUUAGUUGACUUACUAUAAUAGUUGAUGCCUUCUGGAAAAAUGCAGCUUUUACCUGGCCGAUUUGUCAGAAACAUUUUAUGUACAGAAAAACGAAAUCUGUACAAGUAGUCACAGCUGACUUGGACCUUUUCUGUGACUGCAAUCAAACACUGCUCAAUAGUAUCAAGUAGUCACACCAUUCAUGUAUGGUGGAUGAACUUUUCCAAUACCCCAUAUAUGGUGCUGGGCCUCUCUGGUCUUGGCUGGGGCCUUUUAGCUCACUAGCUCAUCUGAUAAAGCAAUAUCAUAAAUCUUUACAUAGAGAAAUAAAAGUUUAAAUCCUCAGAUUAAAAUUUACGUUGGUCAUCACUCAUCACUGGCCUAUCUGAAGCAUGCCUGGAUCUCUCGUAUCGAAGAUUCUUGCAAGAGACUUCCUCUAUGAUCUUAAGUAACACCACUUCUCUGCAGGGAGACACUUUGCCUGCCAAUAUGCAAAAGGCUAGGCUAAGAAAGAGAAUGGUGGUAAAGCAGCAAGAUAUGAUGAACAAGCAUAUGAUAUGUUUGUCAUGGACAACUUACUUGGAGAAACAUGUAACAAGGUUAGUACCAUAACGGGUGGCUAUCCUAAGUGCUUCCAUCAGGAGCUAAACAAUAAUGGGACUCAGGAACAAAGCUAAAUUCCAGUUGGAUCUCAUAAGAACCCUUAUUCAUAAUCCUUGAUGCUUCAGACAAGUAGGAGAUAUAUUUAGCAAAUGUUGCAUGACCAAAGACACUACAAACAAGUUAAAAUAAGUGAUCAAAAUGCAUAAACAAUGAUCAUUACCUAGUGAGUUGAGUUUUGAAAACAUUUCUUAAGCAGUAUUCUUGUUUAAUUGACCUACUAUAAUAGUUGAUGCCUUCUGGAAAACAGAAAGAGAACGGAGGUAAAGCGGAAGAUAGGCUGGCUGCAAUGAACAAGUACGUCAUAUGUUGUCAAGAACUGCUGAUUUGGGUAAAAAUGGAACAUGGAUGGUAGUACCAUAACUUCCAUUGGAAGCAAGCUAAGAAUGGGCUUCCAGAAGACAAGAACGAUGAUGAAUACCUCACAGAUGUGACUAGAGCUUUAUACGUAGUAAUCCUUAAUGCUUCAGAUAAGUUGCUAAACCAAAGACUUCAUAAGCAAGGUAAAACAAGUGGUCAAAACACAAAGAAUGUUAAAUUAUAUAGUUUGUUAAAUUUUGAAAAUAAAUUUUUAAGUAGUCUUCAUCAAAGCAAAAUUAAAAGUUAAUAAAUUGCACAAGUGUCAUCAAUUACAUGGAAAAGUAAUGGUGACCAGGACUUACUUUUCGAUGGAUAAAUUUAGUUUCUACGUUCUCUCUUUGACUGAUGAGUCUUUAAGCUGUACAAGCUAAUUAGUGAAUCCUGCAAAAUUAAGCCAAAAAAUCUGUCAUAUGGAUUAACCAACCAAAUUUGUGAACAAAUAACCUUUUUUUUUGAAAAAAGAAUAAAUAAAUAAGCCAACCAAGUUGAACGGAAAUAUAUUGUCUAAUUGGAGAAAUCCACUAUAUACUUAGAGAACUGCCAAAAUGAUUAUAUAUACAAAGGGACUUCUCAUAUCCAUGAAAUGUUUAUCAAAACAAAAUUAAAAGGUUGUCUACUAAAAUGCAAAGAUAAUCACAGGAAGAAUGAACUGAUGUAAAUUGCAUUGAAAAGAAAUGGGGAUAAAAAAGAGCUUACUUUUCUAUCUCUAUAUUUACAUCCAAGACAAUAAGUCUAUGAAUCCUUCAUAUCCAUACAAAUCCUGUAAAGGUCUGGCGAAAAUGCCGAAAAAAAAUGAAAGUUUAGGAGGAAAAGAACAAGAAGAAUUUAGAGAGAAAUGACAUUCUUUUAUCAAAAGCAAAAAGUACAGGCGUUUUGGUUUCAGAUAUUGAACUUACCGCUUGCUCAUAAUUGAGAUCCUACGAAUGUGGGAAAUCUUGGACCACUCAGGGCCGCUUUCCUUGGAACAUCUUGCCUCUAAUCGAGGACACGCUGAAAUUAUAAAUGAUGUUAAUUUGGAGAGGCUUCGGAUAACAUGUUCAGAAGGCAGAUACAUGAGCUUAUCACAUGAAACAAUUCUCAAACGCUUUACAGAGGAGAGGUUUCCCAACCAAUCAGGCAAGGCUUCUAUGCCGUGAAACCUCUGUAUCUCUAGUCCUUCAAGGGCAGUGAGGUGUCGGAGUUGGUAAGGAAGAGAACUUAGCUUUUCCCAUCCAAGCAAUCGCAACUCUUUAAGGGAGGCACUGAGGUGUUGGAUGGAAUCAAAACCUGGGAAUUCUUCUAGCUCUUCUGAGAAACCACCAAUAUCUAAACUUCUCAAGCAAGUAAGGCUGCCAAGGCGGUCAUUUGGAAUGCUCCUCAAUGUUGGACACCUUUUGGUUGUUAAACGAACAAGAGAAUGCAAUUCCCACACACUUUCUGGAAUCGAUCUUAGAUCAGGCAAAUCAGCUAGUGUCAGCUUGCGAAGGCAAGUGUUGGAUUGCAGCAAAUCUGGUAAUAGACAAGUUAAGCCUUGGCCUACACCAGUGAAACCUAAUUCAGUGAGACGACCAUGACAUAUACUUGGAAUGGACCUCAAAUUCGGGCAAGUCUCUAUCCUCAAUUUUUUGAGACAAGUGAAGUUAGACAGUCCAUUUCCUAUGUAGCUUAAUUUUUCACAUGCAAGAAUGUCAAGAACUUCAAGAGAUGAGCACCUUUCUGUUAUUGGAACAAUUUCCAGUUUGUUGCACCCAGAUAUACAUAAACUCUGAAGAGACGAAAAUCCUUUCAAAUCUGGAAUGGAACUUAAAUUAGGGCAAAGCCUUAUCCUCAAUUCUUUGACAAAAGAGGAAAUAGAAAACCCGUCUCCUACCUUGCUUAGUUUUUCACACUGAAAAAUGUGAAGCUUUUCAAGAAAAGGAAGUCUUCCUGUUGGAAUAACUUCCAGGUUGUCACAUUUAGAUAUAUCUAAAGUUCGAAGAGAUUCCAAAUCUGGAAUGGAAUUUAAGUUACCACAAUGGGAUAGCUUUAACUCUUUGAGACAAGUGGCAAUAGGCAACCAAUCUUCUAUCUUGCUUUGACACCCGGAAAUGAGAAGCUUUUCAAGAGAUGAACAUUGUCCUCUUAUCGGAACAAUUUCCAGUUCGUUGCAGUUUGAUAAAUCUAAAAUUUUAAGAGAGGAAAAUCCUUCCAAAUCUAGAAUGGAACAUAAAUUAGGACAAUCGCUUAACUUUAAUUCUUUAAGAUAAGUGGAGGUAGACAACCCAUCUCCUAUCUUGCUUAAGUUUUGACACGAGGAAAUGUGAAACUUUUGAAGAGAUGAACAUCUUCCUCUUAUUGGAACAAUUUCCAGUUUGCUGCACUCUGAUAUAUCUAGAUUUCGAAGAACGGAAAAUCCUUCCAAAUCUGGAAUGGAACUUAAUUUAGCACAGCCACUUAGCUUUAAUUCUAUAAGAUAAGCGGAAGUCGACAACCAGUCUCCUAUCUUGCUUAAGUUUUGACACGAGGAAAUGUGAAGCUUUUGAAGAGAUGAACAUCUUCCUCUUAUUGGAACAAUUUCCAGUUUGCUACACUCUGAUAUAUCUAGAUUUCGAAGAACGGAAAAUCCUUCCAAAUCUGGAAUGGAACUUAAAUUAGCACAGCCACUUAGCUUUAAUU
rnacentral:lncRNA from 1 species